GAGUAGGGCGGGACACGUGGUAUCCUGUCUGAAUAUGGGGGGACCAUCCUCCAAGGCUAAAUACUCCUGACUGACCGAUAGUGAACCAGUACCGUGAGGGAAAGGCGAAAAGAACCCCGGCGAGGGGAGUGAAAAAGAACCUGAAACCGUGUACGUACAAGCAGUGGGAGCACCUUCGGGUGUGACUGCGUACCUUUUGUAUAAUGGGUCAGCGACUUAUAUUCUGUAGCAAGGUUAACCGUAUAGGGGAGCCGCAGGGAAACCGAGUCUUAACUGGGCGUUAAGUUGCAGGGUAUAGACCCGAAACCCGGUGAUCUAGCCAUGGGCAGGUUGAAGGUUGGGUAACACUAACUGGAGGACCGAACCGACUAAUGUUGAAAAAUUAGCGGAUGACUUGUGGCUGGGGGUGAAAGGCCAAUCAAACCGGGAGAUAGCUGGUUCUCCCCGAAAGCUAUUUAGGUAGCGCCUCGUGAAUUCAUCUUCGGGGGUAGAGCACUGUUUCGGCUAGGGGGUCAUCCCGACUUACCAACCCGAUGCAAACUACGAAUACCGAAGAAUGUUAUCACGGGAGACACACGGCGGGUGCUAACGUCCGUCGUGAAGAGGGAAACAACCCAGACCGCCAGCUAAGGUCCCAAAGUCAUGGUUAAGUGGGAAACGAUGUGGGAAGGCACAGACAGCCAGGAUGUUGGCUUAGAAGCAGCCAUCAUUUAAAGAAAGCGUAAUAGCUCACUGGUCGAGUCGGCCUGCGCGGAAGAUGUAACGGGGCUAAACCAUGCACCGAAGCUGCGGCAGCGACACUAUGUGUUGUUGGGUAGGGGAGCGUUCUGUAAGCCUGCGAAGGUGACCUGUGAGGGUUGCUGGAGGUAUCAGAAGUGCGAAUGCUGACAUAAGUAACGAUAAAGCGGGUGAAAAGCCCGCUCGCCGGAAGACCAAGGGUUCCUGUCCAACGUUAAUCGGGGCAGGGUGAGUCGACCCCUAAGGCGAGGCCGAAAGGCGUAGUCGAUGGGAAACAGGUUAAUAUUCCUGUACUUGGUGUUACUGCGAAGGGGGGACGGAGAAGGCUAUGUUAGCCGGGCGACGGUUGUCCCGGUUUAAGCAUGUAGGCUGAUUAUCCAGGCAAAUCCGGAUAAUCAAGGCUGAGGUGUGAUGACGAGGCACUACGGUGCUGAAGUAACAAAUGCCCUGCUUCCAGGAAAAGCCUCUAAGCAUCAGGUAACAUCAAAUCGUACCCCAAACCGACACAGGUGGUCAGGUAGAGAAUACCAAGGCGCUUGAGAGAACUCGGGUGAAGGAACUAGGCAAAAUGGUGCCGUAACUUCGGGAGAAGGCACGCUGGUGUGUAGGUGAAGUCCCUGCGGAUGGAGCUGAGACCAGUCGAAGAUACCAGCUGGCUGCAACUGUUUAUUAAAAACACAGCACUGUGCAAACACGAAAGUGGACGUAUACGGUGUGACGCCUGCCCGGUGCCGGAAGGUUAAUUGAUGGGGUUAUCCGUAAGGAGAAGCUCUUGAUCGAAGCCCCGGUAAACGGCGGCCGUAACUAUAACGGUCCUAAGGUAGCGAAAUUCCUUGUCGGGUAAGUUCCGACCUGCACGAAUGGCGUAAUGAUGGCCAGGCUGUCUCCACCCGAGACUCAGUGAAAUUGAACUCGCUGUGAAGAUGCAGUGUACCCGCGGCAAGACGGAAAGACCCCGUGAACCUUUACUAUAGCUUGACACUGAACAUUGAGCCUUGAUGUGUAGGAUAGGUGGGAGGCUUUGAAGCGUGGACGCCAGUCUGCGUGGAGCCAACCUUGAAAUACCACCCUUUAAUGUUUGAUGUUCUAACGUUGGCCCCUUACCGGGGUUGCGGACAGUGUCUGGUGGGUAGUUUGACUGGGGCGGUCUCCUCCCAAAGCGUAACGGAGGAGCACGAAGGUUAGCUAAUCCUGGUCGGACAUCAGGAGGUUAGUGCAAUGGCAUAAGCUAGCUUGACUGCGAGCGUGACGGCGCGAGCAGGUGCGAAAGCAGGUCAUAGUGAUCCGGUGGUUCUGAAUGGAAGGGCCAUCGCUCAACGGAUAAAAGGUACUCCGGGGAUAACAGGCUGAUACCGCCCAAGAGUUCAUAUCGACGGCGGUGUUUGGCACCUCGAUGUCGGCUCAUCACAUCCUGGGGCUGAAGUAGGUCCCAAGGGUAUGGCUGUUCGCCAUUUAAAGUGGUACGCGAGCUGGGUUUAGAACGUCGUGAGACAGUUCGGUCCCUAUCUGCCGUGGGCGCUGGAGAAUUGAGGGGGGCUGCUCCUAGUACGAGAGGACCGGAGUGGACGCAUCACUGGUGUUCGGGUUGUCAUGCCAAUGGCACUGCCCGGUAGCUAAAUGCGGAAGAGAUAAGUGCUGAAAGCAUCUAAGCACGAAACUUGCCCCGAGAUGAGUUCUCCCUGAGACUUUAAGUCUCCUGAAGGAACGUU
rnacentral:rRNA from 1 species